GUUAAAGGGCAAAGGUUGGAGGUAGAAGGACCACAUAGAAAGUAGGAAAGUCAUCUUUUACUAUUUAAUAAGCUAUAUUAAUAUUUUAGAGCUUUAAAAUUUGUAAAAAUAAUAUUUCCUUGUAAUGUAAAAAUCUUAAUUGUGUUUGUUUACUGUGUGUGUUUAAAAUAUAGUCUACAUAUAAAAAGGCAGUCAGUUGUUUUGUAGCCCUCUGGUUAAUAUUGUGGUCUUAGUCUCAUAUGAUUUUCUUCAAAGUUACAAUUUUUUAGGCCAUAUAAUAUUUAUUUAGAAGUUUCAGUCUUUAAGCAGAUUUUAUAUAAACCAAGUUUUCACACAUGUUCAGAAUCUCAGUUCCAAAUGUCAUAGAACUAUAUGAAUGUGGUUGAAUAACAAACAUAGCAAAUACAGUGUUCCUUGCUGUCAUUACAUACAUUUGAAUCUGGCUCCUUUUUUAAAAAAAUAGUGUCAUGAGGCUGGGGUUGUGGUGGUAGAGUGCUUGCCUGGCAUGUGUGGGGCACUGGGUUCAAUCCUCAGCAAGCACCACAUAAAAAUGAAAUAAAGAUGUUGUGUUCACCUACAGCUUAAAAAAAAAAAGAUAGUGUCAUGAUUUUUAAAGAAGUUACUUAAUCUUUUUUGAGUCAGUUUUCCUAAUGAGUAAAAUGGGAAUGAUAUUACCUGGCUUCCAUACAGUGUUGGUAUGUGAAUUAAAUUAUGAACAUAUAUGUAUCAUAUAGUUGGUAUAUAAUAAAUGGGGCAUAGUAUUUAUAUGCAUGGACUACUGAGUGCAUGUGUUUUUAUAGUUUGAUAAUUGUUAUGUAUUCUAAUUUUCCAAAAGCAUUUAGCAAUAUUAGUUUACAUUUAAGAAUUCAUUCAGUUUUCAUGAAACCUGGCUACUUUCUUUUUUUUUGUGGUACUGAGGAUUAAACAGGGUCUCACCCAUGCUAUCCAGGUACUCUACUACUGAGUACAUCCUCACCCCUUUUUAAAUUUUAUUUGAGGCAUGGUCUUGUUAAUUUGCGGGGGCUGGUACUGAACUUGUGAUCCUCCUUGCCUUAGCCUCCCAAGUAGCCAGAAUUACAGGUGUAAGCCACUGUACCCAGCCUUAGUAAUUUCUUUAUAAAUAAUUCAUGUAGAUUAGGAAUUCAGUGAUUUUUUUUUUAUUAUUCUUUGCUCUUAUUUUGGGAAAUUAACUAUAUAAAGUUUAUUUAAAGCUAAAUUUGUUUUGCAUUUUUAUUUUAGUAAGCACCUAAUUUUGUAUUAAU
rnacentral:lncRNA from 1 species